rnacentral:lncRNA from 1 species
CGGGAGCCCGGAGCCCCGGGCGCGCGGGCCGCCCGCUGCCGCGCUGGUUCGCCGGGCGAGGCGCGGCGGAGGGCGGGAAGGACGGGGGGCGAGAGCUAAUAACUAGACCGGGAGGCGAGAGCGUGCGGGUGCGGAGACUCCGGGCGGGAAGAAGGACGAGCGGGAAGUCAAGGCUCCAGCCUCUAAAUGUGGUUUGAUAUGUACUACCUUGGUGAGUGUCUGGUCUCUGUAUCCUGAAACAGUUGGGCCUGAAUCCCUGCGGAAAUCUUACCCACCUUUUAAGACUCCAUUCAGCUGCCCUCUUCAUGAAGUCAUCUCUCAUCUUCCACAGAGACAUGAACCAGCGGUAUUCUGUUCAUACCCACUCAGAAGCCACACAGUCCUGGGAUGUUUCCUCGUGUAGAAGAAGAGAAUGGACAUUGUCUACGUGCAUGGACCUGAACCUUUGCUCUCAGAUGUUUAGUUGGUCGCCUUUCAGGAGAGAUUGUAAUAUUUUAGGAGCUUCUGUGAAAUGCAGCUGAGCAUUGGAAAUCUGCUUCUUGAACAUGUGCGUUCCUUCUCAGUGCAGCCCUUUCAAGAGCGUUAGAACUAAAUCCUGUAAUAUAUUCCCAUUUAACUGGGAGUAUUAAGUCACAUGUGAAACUGCAUCCUGUAAAUGUCUAAUUCUAAAGUAGGACAAGCUACAAUUAAAUACCUUAAAGACAAAACCUACGCAUCCUUAAAACCACAAGUUUCUCAGAUAAACCCCUUGAAAAAGUGAACCGAUAAAGCCUGUAUCUUUCCUAAAUGACUUAGACCUCCGGGUAGCCACAACUGAAGGGAAUUUGCCCUUUUUCAGAGCUGUCCAUCCAGUAACAAGAUCUGAUACAACAUCGAGGGCUUUUGCCCUAAGGAAGUAACAGAUCUAAUAAUGGACCUAGGCAGAGUCACCAGCGACUACUGACAACACAAAGCGAGAAACAGACAACCGACGUUACAUGGCUCUGAUCAAGGACACAACACCAUGUAUGAGGAUUCUUACCAAAAAUGAAACCGGAGUCUGAUCACCCUCAAGAUCUGCUUCCCAGUUUCCAGGAGUUACGGAGAUCAGAGGAGCACGUUAGAAACACCAUGGGGAUGCAACCACGAAAUCCCGACCGGGGAAAGGACAGGUCAGAGGAUCUAGUCUCUUCAGCAUAUUAACCACUUGCAAUUGCAUAAUCUUUUACAAUGUAACUGGAAUCCAACCUUUCAAAUAGAUCCUGGCAACCAUUUAAAGCAAUACACCUUUGGGGGCAGGCAAAUAGUGUACACUUCAGGGAUGACAGGAGGAUGUUGAAAUCGAGGUCCAAGAACUAAAUUCCAAACCCUGAGAUGGUAUCAUGGAAAUGGUUUGAACUCAGAUAGACUUAGUUCAGUCCUCACUUGAUCCAUCGCACGCCCCCAGCUGCUAAUCACGGUGAACUUUGCUCAGCUUUGCCAGCUCCGGAUCAGUAUUCCCCCUCCUCCUGAAAAUGCAGGGCUCUUUUGAAAUACCACCCACCCGCUGCCCCGCUGCCCCUGCCUUUAUGGUCGUCUGCCGCUUCCCCUGUUCUCACUAACAUCUCCCUCCCUCUCUCCUCCUCCCCACCACUUUCCUCGUUGUCCUCACUCUCGGUGACUUCAUGAUUCACAGCAAGGAUCCGCCCAGUACCCUGGCCUAUCAUUUUCUGGAACUUCUCUCAUAAUCUUAUCGUCCACCCACCUAAGCCACCCAGUCCCAGAGUCUCCAUUAGCCUUUGUCGUGACCAGUGGCUGCAAACUCUCCAGACACCACCUCCUGUUUUCCAGCUCACUCCCUCAGCAGCCAGUCUGCAGCCCAUUAAUCCCACCAACCCUCAGUCCAUCUCGCCCUUCCUGCCUUCCCAGAUUAGACCGCGUGGUCUUUGUAAAAUCCCUCCCUGGGGAACAUCCUCAGCUCUCCUGCCCUCCUUUCCCGUUGUUCUCCUCACUUGGCAAAAUCUCAGCGCGGGUUAAAACACUUCCCCACGUGCCUUGCGCCUUGCGUUGCCCUCUGGUGGCUUAAUACGACUGGAAAGCAAUGCACCACAGACUUCAGGUGGUUCCUCGCUGCUGCCAAGCAGCUCCAGCAAGCAGCCUAGGCCAUGCAUUCUCUUCGCCUUCUUAAUUUUGAUGCCACCACCCUCCUCGCUCUCAGUGAUGAUUUUUCUUUUUGUCACUGAGACAAAGCAAGUGUGCGGGAGGAGAUGGGCCCCAUUCUUCCACCACGCUGCCUGCGGGCGCCUGAGAGCCCCCCAUCACCCUGUGCAAGGCGGGCUGUGCUGCACCCACCUGAGGCCAACGCUCCGGCCUCCUCCGCCCUCCCCUCCUCCCCGCUCUCAUUGCCCUGAGUCACACGGGCUUCCCUGCUCCUCCACCAAACACGCUCCUGCCUCAGAGCCUUUGCAGCUGUUGAUCCCUCUGCCUGCAGUGACUUCUGUGGGAGGUCCUCCCUCCCUCCAUCCAGGUCUCCCCCAAAUGGUACCUCCUCAGAGAGCUGCACCCCGACCGCUUUACCCGAAGUCAUACCCCGACACUACCUGUUCAUUCCUUUUGCUUUAUUUCUCUUCAGUGGACAUCUGACUAUUGAAGAUUACAUUAGAUGUGUAUCUGUUUGUUUAUGUGGCACCAUCAACACCCCCAAGUACCAUAACCUCACCUGGCAGAAUAGGUCUGGCCCGUGCAGGUGCUUCAUGCAUAUUUGUUGAAUGAGUGUGUGAUUCUCGUGCCCAAGAGCAAGUUAACAUGUGUUUCCAUUUCCUCCAGGGUGAAGUCAGUUUGGUACUGUUUAACAGGUUGUUGUUAAGAGGAUUGAAAGAGGUAACAGACAACUUAGACGAACCUUGAAAACAUUACGCCAAGUGAAAGAAGUCAGGGACAAAAGCUCACGUCUUUUAGGACUGCAUUUGUGUUUCCAGAAUAAGCAAAUCCAGAGAGACAGAAAAUGGAUUAGUAGUUGCCAGGGACGGGGGAAGGAGGGCAUGGGAUUUCUUUUUAAGAUGAUGAGACUAUUCUAGAAUUAGAUUGCGGUGGUGGUUGCACAAUGUUUAAAUAUACUAGAAUUCACUGAAUUGUACACUUUAAAAUGGUGAAUUUUAUGGUAAGCAAAUUACAUCUCAAUUUUUUUUUAAAAAGCUCUAUUUUCCUGUUUUUUUGUUUUUUUGUUUUUUUUGUUGUUGUUUGUUUUAUCUUUAUACUCCCAGCUAAUAUUCAUGCAAAAUCUCAACCAAAGAAAAUGUUUUAAAGGGAUCUUUAAGACUGGAGUGAAGAGCUCCUGGACAGCCUAGCGGGUUAAGUAUCCAACAGACUUGUUGCUGUUGCACAGGUUCAGUCCCUGGCUGGCCUGGGACUUCCUCAAGCCGCAGGUGCAGCCCGAAGAAAGAGAGAGAAAGAACGAACUUCCUUUUAUUUCCUACCAGGAAUUCAUAGUUCUUUCAUGUAAAUAGAACCAAAGAGCAUUACUUAUAAGCAAGGAACUACUGAAAAAAAACCGUAAUUACUCCGAGAGAGGUAGGUAAGUAAACACAUGUUUAGCCUUUUGUAUUCUUCUCCUGGUCGAUUUUCUCUGAAGCACGGGGUAAGGAGCUACUUAUUUUUGGACUAGCAGGAAUCCAAUUGGGAAAAAAAAAAAAAAAACCAAAACCUGCCUGAUAAUUUCUCUCCUGACUAAAAUAAUUUUCUGAUUAUUCAAUUAUAUGUAAAGAGGGAACUUCAGUACUAAGUUAUUAAUUAUGUCAGGUAAUCCACAAAGGGUGCUAUACUUUUUUUCACUAUAUAAAACCAGUUAAUUUCUUCCCAAGGUCAUUUUCAUAAGAACACAUUUAACUAUUAAUACCUCCAUGGUUUUACAUUAGAAAACUCUCAAUUUCAUUUCAGGUGCUAUCUUAAAUUGUGGUACAUUCAUCAAUUAUUACACAUACAAGAAAGGAGAACAUCAUAUAUGCAAGACCACAAAUGUCCAUUCAGACUGUAAGUGGUAGAUUCCGAGAAACACAUUUCAAGUUGUGCUGUGAAUAUGUGCAUCCUCCCAAAGCUCAUGUGGUGAAGCCCCAGGCUGAUCUCAUCUGGAGACGGUACCUUUGGGGGGAGUGAGGUCAAAAGAGUGGCCCCUGGUUUAAUGGGAUCACUGUCCUUAGAAGAAAGUCCGUGUGAGCUUGUCUUAGGCCAUUUGAUCUGCCACAACAAAAACACCAGAGACCGGGGCCUUCUAAACAUCAAACAUCUAUUCUCCCUGGUCCGCGGCAGAGAAAUCCCAGAUCAAGGUAUCAGCAGAUUUGGUGUCUGUGAGAACCCGCUCCCUGGUCGACACAGGGCCAACUUUUCUCUGUGCCCUCACGUGGUGGAAGCACGCAGGGCUCUCCGAGGUCUCUUAGGAGGGCACCAAACCCAUUCAUGACGGCUCCACCCUCAUGGCCUAAUCACCUUCCAGAGGCCCCACCUCCAGAUAGCAUCCGAGAUGCUACAUGAGUUGGAGGCACACAAACCUGCGAUGUGUGUUGGGAGCACAUGGUGAAAGGGCAGCCUUCUGCCAGCCAGGAAGAACCCUCACCAGAAGCAACCAUGCUAUGGCACUCUGCUCUUGGACUUCCAGCCCCCAGAAUUACAAGAAAAUAAAUUUCUGUGGUUCGAGCCAUGCCGCCUAUUAUAUUUUGUUUACGCAGCCUGAGCAGACUAAGACAAGUGGGUUCUUUUAAAUAGGAGGGCUUUUAUUUUUUUAUUUCUUUAGGGCUGCACCCAAGGGAUAUGGAAGUUCCUGGGUCAGGGAUUGAAUAAGAGCCAUAGCUGUGGCCUACACUGCAGCUGUGGCAACACUAGAUCCUUUAACCAAAUGGGCUGGGCCAGGGAUCAGACUUGUACCUCCUAGUGACCUGAGCCGCAGCAGCUGGAUUCUUAACCCACUGUGCCACAGCAGGAACUCCAGGAAAGUUUUUAAAGUAAUGAGAUUUGGGAGGACGCCAGGGUCUAUGCUAACGACCAAAUUCCUUCUCCUGCCUUAUUCCCUUGUGGCUCAGCAGGUUAAGGACCUGAUGUUAUCACUGCCGUGCCUCAGGUCAUUGCUGUGGCACUGGUUCAGUCCCUGGCCCAGGAACUCCACAUGCCACAGGAGUAGCUGUAACGGAGGAAGAGAGGAAGGGAAGAACUAUGUUAUAAGUAACUAAACUGAAGUGGCAAAGAUUUAACUUCCUGCGUUUCUGUGGUAAAACUGAUGAAACACAUCAGGAAGUGAUGACAAUUUCUUUGCUCUGAAAAGUUCUGCCUCCAGUUAUUGAUUACAACGAGAGUAAUUGCCAAGGAAAUUCCUUCUUGCAUUAUACGCUCCCUGAUGCUGGGAUCACGAGUUAUUCUUUGAGCCCGUGGGCCCAACGUUGCACAUCUUUGCACGUCUUUGAAAUCUGGACACUAGGCUCAAGUCACAUUACUGUUCCCAAAACACACCUUGUCAGUUUUACUGAACGACUCACCUGAAGUUAAUGACACUCUUUCCCACACUAAGGACACAUAGGAGAUGCAGACCAGGUCCAUCUGUUUAUCUCCAAAGUAAACAAAAUCACCAUCUCUACUACUCCUUAAGAUGAAGCAUAAUGACGGUUUUCCGAGAUGCACCUAGAGAUGCAAGUAAGGAAACUUGCAAGCUGUUUCACUGGGCAGCCACUGCCAGAAACGCUUUCACACCUCAUAUCCUAGGUCUUCAAUCGCGCCCUCGAUUCCACGGAUUCAAGUGAUAGGCGUAAGUGGUUCCUUUAUUGAGAGAAGACUGCAAAGCCGUCCACGGGGCGAUGAUCCACGGAGGGGCCAGCACCCCACGAAAACUUGGUAAUUGCACCGAAAACACCAAAGCAGAGUUUCAGGGAAAGACAACUGGAUCUUACACACCAGCAACAGGAUCCAAACCCUGUGCCCGCUGGGAACCGGCAGGUCCUGUGCAUGAGUGUGCUGUCCUGGGAUGGAACCAGAGAACCACACCUGCCGGUUAAAAGGGAAGACCGGCCUUCCCAGCCUGAGGAUGAAGAACUACCCCGUUGGAGUUCCCGUGGUGGCGCAGUGGUUAACGAAUCCGACUAGGAACCAUGAGGUUGCGGGUUUGAUCCCUGCCCUUGCUCAGUGGGUUAAAGAUCCGGCGUUGCCGUGAGCUGUGGUGUAGGUUGCAGACGCGGCUCGGAUCCCAUGUUGCUGUGGCUCUGGCGUAGGCCGGUGGCUGCAGCUCCGAUUAGACCCCAGCCUGGGAACCUUCACAUGCCGCGAGAGCGGCCCAAGAAAUAGCAAAAAGACAAAAAAAAAAAAAAAAAAAAAAAAAAAAAA